AGUGAACGCUGGCGGUAGGCCUAACACAUGCAAGUCGAACGGCAGCACAGUAAGCUCUUGCUCCUACGGGUGGCGAGUGGCGGACGGGUGAGGAAUACAUCGGCAUCUACUUUUUCGUGGGGGAUAACGUCGGGAAACUUACGCUAAUACCGCAUACGACCUACGGGUGAAAGCAGGGGAUCUUCGGACCUUGCGCGAUUGAAUGAGCCGAUGUCGCAUUAGCUAGUUGGCGGGGUAAAGGCCCACCUAGGCGACGAUCCGUAGCUGGUCUGAGAGGAUGAUCAGCCACACUGGAACUGAGACACGGUCGAGAGUCCUACGGGAGGCAGCAGUGGGGGAUAUUCGGCAAUGGGCGAAAGCCUGAUCCAGCCAUGCCGCGUGGGUGAUGAAGGCCUUCGGGUUGUAAAGCCCUUUUGUUGGGAAAGAAAAGCUGGAGGUUGAUACCGCGAUGUUCUGACGGUACCUAAAAAAAAAGCACCGGCUAACUUCGUG
rnacentral:rRNA from 1 species